rnacentral:lncRNA from 1 species
CGCCCCUCUCAUACUGAAAUCCCCCUUCCCCUGAAGCAACACUAUUGUGAGGGUUUUCCCCGCAGUCUCCAGCGCGGGGCGGCUGUGAGGUGACCCGAGUCCACAAAGACGGCGACAAACACCGGCCCGAGCCGGGGUUGGGGACACAGCCGCAGGGUGAAAGUACAUCGAAGUGGCAGCGUGCAGGGUGUGAGGUGAGGGACAGACCUAAGUGAGGCAAGAGGAGGAGCUGGGCUUUCUGUGACAUGAGGGGCUACGGGUCAUCACUGGGGGCUUCUGACUAAGGGCACUAAUUGGACAGUGUGAAUACCUUUACCUCUCAUUACAUUCAUAGCAUCAUAUUUUUGCUGUUUGAGGCAUGGGACUCCUCGUUCAGUUACACCACGUCAGCUUAGGAGGACAUCACUUCUUUAGGGAUAAUUUUUGACAUUGUGGUCGAGUUUAUUGCACACAUUCCAGAGUCUGUACUGCUGCAUUAGGAUAGAAUCCCCCCCCCCCCACACACACUUUUUUUCUGGAUAACUUUUAAGGUUUUCAUAUUAAAUUAUCAACAGU